GAGCCUUCAAUCAAUUUAAUUCCCAUGGUUUGACAUACAAAAGAAAAUAUAUGAACAUGAGAAUAUACAAAUCUGUUUGCUUCAUAUUUAAACAAUAUUCUCAAAAUCUGCUGAGGUCCGUUGACUAACUAAAUCAGAUAGUCGAUUAUAUGCUUUCCAUAAUCGUUUACUUUGCAGUUUGAAAAUUUCAGUUUAAGCAUUUUCUUAAAACAAUCG
rnacentral:lncRNA from 1 species